UGGGGAAUAUUGCACAAUGGGCGCAAGCCUGAUGCAGCAACGCCGCGUGAGGGACGACGGCCUUCGGGUUGUAAACCUCUUUUAGUAGGGAAGAAGCGAAAGUGACGGUACCUGCAGAAAAAGCACCGGCUAACUACGUGCCAGCAGCCGCGGUAAUACGUGGGGUGCGAGCGUUGCCCGGAAUUAUUGGGCGUAAAGAGCUCGUAGGCGGUCUGUCGCGUCUGCUGUGAAAACCCGAGGCUCAACCUCGGGCCUGCAGUGGGUACGGGCAGACUAGAGUGCGGUAGGGGAGAAUGGAAUUCCUGGUGUAGCGGUGGAAUGCGCAGAUAUCAGGAGGAACACCGAUGGCGAAGGCAGUUCUCUGGGCCGUAACUGACGCUGAGGAGCGAAAGCGUGGGGAGCGAACAGGAUUAGAUACCCUGGUAGUCCACGCCGUAAACGUUGGGCGCUAGAUGUGGGGACCAUUCCACGGUUUCCGUGUCGCAGCUAACGCAUUAAGCGCCCCGCCUGGGGAGUACGGCCGCAAGGCUAAAACUCAAAUGAAUUGACGGGGUCAUAGCUGUUUCCU
rnacentral:rRNA from 1 species